AACGAACGCUGGCGGCAUGCCUAACACAUGCAAGUCGAACGAGACCUUCGGGUCUAGUGGCGCACGGGUGCGUAACGCGUGGGAACCUGCCCUUAGGUUCGGAAUAACUCCCCGAAAGGGGUGCUAAUACCGGAUAAUGUCUUCGGACCAAAGAUUUAUCGCCUUUGGAUGGGCCCGCGUUGGAUUAGCUAGUUGGUAGGGUAAAAGCCUACCAAGGCGACGAUCCAUAGCUGGUCUGAGAGGAUGAUCAGCCACACUGGGACUGAGACACGGCCCAGACUCCUACGGGAGGCAGCAGUGGGGAAUAUUGGACAAUGGGCGAAAGCCUGGUCCAGCAAUGCCGCGUGAGUGAUGAAGGCCUUAGGGUUGUAAAGCUCUUUUACCCGGGAUGAUAAUGACAGUACCGUGAGAAUAAGCUCCGGCUAACUCCGUG
rnacentral:rRNA from 1 species